rnacentral:lncRNA from 1 species
AAAACUGUAGAGAGGGGAAGAACUGGGGAUUCUAGUGAAGCCAAGAUCACCCCCACCACCGCAGCACCUCCCUCCUUCUUUUACUCCGGCCAUCUAAACUCAACCCUGACGGAGGAACUGGAAAGAAUCUUGGCAGUCAUGUGUUUCAGCCCUCCCCCUCUCCACAAUUUUGCAGGCCUUGCCACAGCAGUGAAUAUCCUGUCUAGAGCCUCAGUCCCCCUCUCCAAGAGGCCCCUUCCCACGAGGCCCAAGGGGUUUGGUAAGGUCGGGCUGGACGCCUUCCAUCCCCUUUGCCCAGCUUCCCUCUCCUCUGGGCCUCCCCUCUGCCUGGCAGCGGGUUGGCAGCACCAGAGGAGGGGCCAGCCCAGCUGCCCACUCACAGCACAGCUGGGCCAAGACUGCAUGUUCUGUUGGGGGGGGUGCAUUCUCAUCUGCCUCCCUCCCCAGCUGCUUCUCAGAGCUGCCCUUUUCUCUCCAUUUCCACUCUCCUUUCUUGCCCCUUACUACCUCUCCCAGUUUCAUUCUUUUAACUUCAGAGGAAAAAAAAAAAAAGAACUUCAAAGCUGCAGAAGCCAAAA